rnacentral:lncRNA from 1 species
GAUGAGAGGAAAAUAAAACCAAGGAAGAAAUUAUGGAGGUAGCAAGAGUGAGAAACCUGGUCGGCCAGCCGACCUUCAGCGGGGCCGGGGCCAGGCUCCGACCGCCAGCAGUCGCUCCUCCGUGCAGUCCCGGGUAGAGAGCCCGGUCCCUGCGCUGGUCGAUUUGUGCAGUAGGAAAGGAGGCUGCAGGGAAUCUGCGCUGGGGCAGGACAGCUGCCUUUCGGGACCCAGUGCUUGCAUCUUGGGAGAUGUGGGUGCUGAUCUGGUUGUUUCUUGGUUUAUGACGCCAAAAAGGGCGGGAGGGGGCUGAUGAAGUGAAGCCUUUCGCUAAUACAUUCCGUUAACAGAAGCCCACGAAGGAUCAUUGAUUUAUUUCACUCUUCCCUGUUUCUGAACCUUAUCUGGCAAAAACUUUUGUGAUGCAUAAAGUUCAGUAUGUUGCUACAGCUGAGUUAAUGAAAGGAAAAUUUCAGCUGCGACUCUUGUGUUAAAAAUGAAUCUAGGAUGGAUAGUGGUGUUGGUUGCACAACA